AACGAACGCUGGCGGCAGGCUUAACACAUGCAAGUCGAGCGCCCCGCAAGGGGAGCGGCAGACGGGUGAGUAACGCGUGGGAAUCUACCCAUCUCUACGGAAUAACGCAUGGAAACGUGUGCUAAUACCGUAUACGUCCUUCGGGAGAAAGAUUUAUCGGAGAUGGAUGAGCCCGCGUUGGAUUAGCUAGUUGGUGGGGUAAAGGCCUACCAAGGCGACGAUCUAUAGCUGGUCUGAGAGGAUGAUCAGCCACACUGGGACUGAGACACGGCCCAGACUCCUACGGGAGGCAGCAGGGGGGAAUAUUGGACAAUGGGCGCAAGCCUGAUCCAGCCAUGCCGCGUGAGUGAUGAAGGCCCUAGGGUUGUAAAGCUCUUUCACCGGUGAAGAUAAUGACGGUAACCGGAGAAGAAGCCCCGGCUAACUUCGUGCCAGCCGCCGCCGUAAGAC
rnacentral:rRNA from 1 species